UGCUGGAGGUAUCAGAAGUGCGAAUGCUGACAUAAGUAACGAUAAAGCGGGUGAAAAGCCCGCUCGCCGGAAGACCAAGGGUUCCUGUCCAACGUUAAUCGGGGCAGGGUGAGUCGACCCCUAAGGCGAGGCCGAAAGGCGUAGUCGAUGGGAAACGGGUUAAUAUUCCCGUACUUGGUGUUACUGCGAAGGGGGGACGGAGAAGGCUAUGUUGGCCGGGCGACGGUUGUCCCGGUUUAAGCGUGUAGGUGUGUGUUCCAGGUAAAUCCGGUUCACUUUAACACUGAGGCGUGACGACGAGGCACUACGGUGCUGAAGCAACAAAUGCCCUGCUUCCAGGAAAAGCCUCUAAGCAUCAGGUAACAUCAAAUCGUACCCCAAACCGACACAGGUGGUCAGGUAGAGAAUACCAAGGCGCUUGAGAGAACUCGGGUGAAGGAACUAGGCAAAAUGGUGCCGUAACUUCGGGAGAAGGCACGCUGACACGUAGGUGAAGUGAUUUACUCAUGGAGCUGAAGUCAGUCGAAGAUACCAGCUGGCUGCAACUGUUUAUUAAAAACACAGCACUGUGCAAACACGAAAGUGGACGUAUACGGUGUGACGCCUGCCCGGUGCCGGAAGGUUAAUUGAUGGGGUCAGCGCAAGCGAAGCUCCUGAUCGAAGCCCCGGUAAACGGCGGCCGUAACUAUAACGGUCCUAAGGUAGCGAAAUUCCUUGUCGGGUAAGUUCCGACCUGCACGAAUGGCGUAAUGAUGGCCAGGCUGUCUCCACCCGAGACUCAGUGAAAUUGAACUCGCUGUGAAGAUGCAGUGUACCCGCGGCAAGACGGAAAGACCCCGUGAACCUUUACUAUAGCUUGACACUGAACAUUGAGCCUUGAUGUGUAGGAUAGGUGGGAGGCUUUGAAGUGUGGACGCCAGUCUGCAUGGAGCCGACCUUGAAAUACCACCCUUUAAUGUUUGAUGUUCUAACGUGGACCCGUUACCCGGGUUGCGGACAGUGUCUGGUGGGUAGUUUGACUGGGGCGGUCUCCUCCUAAAGAGUAACGGAGGAGCACGAAGGUUGGCUAAUCCUGGUCGGACAUCAGGAGGUUAGUGCAAUGGCAUAAGCCAGCUUGACUGCGAGCGUGACGGCGCGAGCAGGUGCGAAAGCAGGUCAUAGUGAUCCGGUGGUUCUGAAUGGAAGGGCCAUCGCUCAACGGAUAAAAGGUACUCCGGGGAUAACAGGCUGAUACCGCCCAAGAGUUCAUAUCGACGGCGGUGUUUGGCACCUCGAUGUCGGCUCAUCACAUCCUGGGGCUGAAGUAGGUCCCAAGGGUAUGGCUGUUCGCCAUUUAAAGUGGUACGCGAGCUGGGUUUAGAACGUCGUGAGACAGUUCGGUCCCUAUCUGCCGUGGGCGCUGGAGAACUGAGGGGGGCUGCUCCUAGUACGAGAGGACCGGAGUGGACGCAUCACUGGUGUUCGGGUUGUCAUGCCAAUGGCACUGCCCGGUAGCUAAAUGCGGAAGAGAUAAGUGCUGAAAGCAUCUAAGCACGAAACUUGCCCCGAGAUGAGUUCUCCCUGAGACUUAGAGUCUCCUGAAGGAACGUUGAAGACGACGACGUUGAUAGGCCGGGUGUGUAAGCGCAGC
rnacentral:rRNA from 1 species